AUUGAACGCUGGCGGCAGGCUUAACACAUGCAAGUCGAGCGGUAGCACAGGGGAGCUUGCUCCCUGGGUGACGAGCGGCGGACGGGUGAGUAAUGUCUGGGAAACUGCCUGAGGGAGGGGGAUAACUACUGGAAACGGUAGCUAAUACCGCAUAACGUCGCAAGACCAAAGAGGGGGACCUUCGGGGCUCUUGCCAUCAGAUGUGCCCAGAUGGGAUUAGCUAGUAGGUGGGGUAAUGGCUCACCUAGGCGACGAUCCCUAGCUGGUCUGAGAGGAUGACCAGCCACACUGGAACUGAGACACGGUCCAGACUCCUACGGGAGGCAGCAGUGGGGAAUAUUGCACAAUGGGCGCAAGCCUGAUGCAGCCAUGCCGCGUGUGUGAAGAAGGCCUUCGGGUUGUAAAGCACUUUCAGCGAGGAGGAAGGUGGUGAGCUUAAUACGUUCAUCAAUUGACGUUACUCGCAGAAGAAGCACCGGCUAACUCCGUG
rnacentral:rRNA from 1 species